rnacentral:rRNA from 1 species
GACGAACGCUGGCGGCGUGCUUAACACAUGCAAGUCGAACGGAAAGGCCCUGCUUGCAGGGUACUCGAGUGGCGAACGGGUGAGUAACACGUGGGUGAUCUACCCUGCACUUCGGGAUAAGCCUGGGAAACUGGGUCUAAUACCGGAUAUGACCUUCCAUGUAGUGUGGGGGGUGGAAAGAUUUAUCGGUGUGGGAUGAGCCCGCGGCCUAUCAGCUUGUUGGUGGGGUAAUGGCCUACCAAGGCGUCGACGGGUAGCCGGCCUGAGAGGGUGGACGGCCACAUUGGGACUGAGAUACGGCCCAGACUCCUACGGGAGGCAGCAGUGGGGAAUAUUGCACAAUGGGCGGAAGCCUGAUGCAGCGACGCCGCGUGGGGGAUGACGGCCUUCGGGUUGUAAACCUCUUUCGACAGGGACGAAGCUUCGGUGACGGUACCUGUAUAAGAAGCACCGGCUAACUACGUG